rnacentral:rRNA from 1 species
GACAGAGGGUGCAAACGUUAAUCGGAAUUACUGGGCGUAAAGCGUGCGCAGGCGGUUUUGUAAGUCUGUCGUGAAAGCCCCGGGCUCAACCUGGGAAUUGCGAUGGAGACUGCAAGGCUUGAAUCUGGCAGAGGGGGGUAGAAUUCCACGUGUAGCAGUGAAAUGCGUAGAGAUGUUGAGGAACACCGAUGGCGAAGGCAGCCCCCUGGGUCAAGAUUGACGCUCAUGCACGAAAGCGUGGGGAGCAAACAGG